rnacentral:rRNA from 1 species
GAUGACGCUAGCUGCAGGCUUAACACAUGCAAGUCGAGCGAGCGGCGGACGGGUGAGUAAUGUAUGGGGAUCUGCCUGAUGGCGGGGGAUAACUACUGGAAACGGUAGCUAAUACCGCAUACCAUCAGAUGAACCCAUAUGGGAUUAGCUAGUAGGUGGGGUAACGGCUCACCUAGGCGACGAUCCCUAGCUGGUCUGAGAGGAUGAUAACCCACACUGGGCCUGAGACAUGGCCCAGCGUCUGACGGGAGGCAGCAUUGGGGAAUUUUGCCCAAUGGGCGCAAGGCUGAUGCAGCCAUGCCGCGUGUAUGAAGAAGGCCUUCGGGUUGUAAAGUACUUACAGUGCGGGGGCGUUACCGACAGAAGAAGCACCGGCUAACUCCGUGCCAGCCGCCGCGGUAAUAC